GAUGAACGCUGGCGGCGUGCCUAAUACAUGCAAGUCGAGCGAACAGACGAGGAGCUUGCUCCUCUGAUGUUAGCGGCGGACGGGUGAGUAACACGUGGAUAACCUACCUAUAAGACUGGGAUAACUUCGGGAAACCGGAGCUAAUACCGGAUAACAUGUUGAACCGCAUGGUUCAACAGUGAAAGACGGUCUUGCUGUCACUUAUAGAUGGAUCCGCGCCGCAUUAGCUAGUCGGUAAGGUAACGGCUUACCAAGGCAACGAUGCGUAGCCGACCUGAGAGGGUGAUCGGCCACACUGGAACUGAGACACGGUCCAGACUCCUACGGGAGGCAGCAGUAGGGAAUCUUCCGCAAUGGGCGAAAGCCUGACGGAGCAACGCCGCGUGAGUGAAGAAGGUCUUCGGAUCGUAAAACUCUGUUAUUAGGGAAGAACAAAUGUGUAAGUAACUAUGCACGUCUUGACGGUACCUAAUCAGAAAGCCACGGCUAACUACGUG
rnacentral:rRNA from 1 species